AAUUGCAGGGAGGUCCUCAAAGUCAAAUUACAAGGCAGCGCCCAAGUCACAAGUUCAACGCCACAUGGCAGCUUCUCAUUGGGUCUCAAAUACAAGUGGCAGCCUAUAAAAGGCGCAUUCAAUGCACAGUCAAAAAGAAAAGUCAGAGAUUCAUCAAAAACAGAUUUUCUUUCUCUCUCCAUUCUGUUACAGAUCAAAACAGAAAAACCAGAGAAAAAUCACCAAGAACAAAAACCCUAGAGAAUUUUCCAGAAUUGAAAUCCAUCAAAAGUUCUCAGUGAUUCAUUGAAGAAUCAUCAUCAUCGAACCGAAUCCUUCACAAUUCUAGUGCGGAUCCGUCACCAAUAGCGACGAAUCCAAGCACGAUCGCGAAGGAUCCGAAAGUUUGAGAAGAAGAGGGAAAGAACCGAUUUAUUUUCGGAUCCAAGCCAGAAAAUCAAAACCGCGCCAAUAUCCAAGUUUUCCGAAGAUUCCAUUCGAAAUUUUCAGCCAAAAUUACAGGUAAAACUCAGAAUCCAUCUCUUUUUUUUCGCAAGAUAUCAACAAGCACGAAUCAGUUGUAGAUUUACCACGUUUUAAAACUUUCAUCCAACAAAACUUAAAAAAGAACCAAGAAAACUCUUUUCAAAACCGUGAACAAAAGUGUAGAUCUACAACGAUUCAAGCUUUGCAUGAAAAAACCAGUACCGGAUUCGUGUUUAAAACGAAAAAGGAUUUCCAAAAACGUAAAAAAUUUCGAAAACGGAGAAGUUUGUUCAACUACGGCGGCGGCGCCGCCACCCUUGGGUGGCCGGCCACCGCGCCGGAAGAGCAAGCCUCACCGGAGAAGAUGAAUCUUCAUCUUCCUCCUUGAAGUUUCCGGCGAGAGGGAAGAAGAGAGAAGUAGGAGCUUCUCUCACUAGGAUGAGAGAAGAGAGAGAAGGAGAGGAAAAUAAUGAGAAAAAAACCGGACCUUCCCCCCUUUAAAGCCAGUGAACCGGACCGGUUCAGGACCGGUCCAACCCCCUUUGUUCCUGGCCGUUUGAUCUAGGGUUCCAGAAUCCUAGAUCAAUCGUGUGGCUCCUGUGCAAUCUGAGUUUUGUGUAUUGGGCCUUUGGUUUGGGCUUUGAUCUUUUACGUUUUUGUUUGUUUUCCUGCUAUUUGCACCAUAUUUCUUUGCUGUUUGAACCCCUGCAUGCUUAAAUUUUUCUCCAAAAAAUCUCCAAAAAUUAUCACAUGUUUCUUGAUAUUUUCUUAGUGUUUUUAUGACAUUUUUGAACAUCAAGGAUCUACGAAAUUUUUGUAUAAUUAAUUCAUAGCAUUUUAAUUCUCUUUGAAUUAUUUGUUAUGGAUUCUUCUUCACACAUUUGUCCUUGAUGUGAGAAUAUGUAAUAAAAGCUACUUGAUGUGUUAAUAUGAGAGAUUUGUGCCUAUAAUUUCAUGUUGAUUUGCUGUUUUGAUUUGGUUCAUGAGUUCUUAAUUUUAUGAACAAUAUAUGCAUAUUUUGAAAGACAUAAAAUGCCAAGUUCAUUCUAAAAAAUAUGGCAUGAAACAAUGCUUGCAUGCUUCCAAUAAUUCCAUGCUAUAACUUGAGAUAAAGAAAACUCUUUCAAAAUUUGUUAAAGCAUGAGAAUUAGAGGCCAAGAAUGCUUUAGGUUUCAUACCUAAGUUUUUAGGGUUUAAUGUCAUUUUGUUAACUUUUUGUGCCAUUUUGCAUGCUUUUAUUUCUUAGUACUUGUUAUGUUUUUUUCUUUUCACUAACAAGUUUAUUUCCAUGUUUCAUGCAUCCCAUUUAGCAUCCCCUCCACUUUCUUUAGCCUAGCCUUUAUCUUUUGCAAGUUUUAAUUCAUUUGGUAAUGUGAUUUGUUAUCAUUGGUUUGUAGCUUGGCAAAGGGGCCAUAGAAUGUAUUUAGGCAAUUUUUGUAAUAUGGACUAUGGACACUAUGAUGCACCGACACGCACACACUCACCUUAGAUGUAUGCAUAGGAUUGUAUGGUUAAAUAAGCGUUUAGGUUUUAAACACUUAGAGAAAAUCCAUCUUUUUUUUUCAAAAAAAAUAAUUGAACUUCACUUCAAAAACUUUCCUAAUAAGUAUGAAGUCAACACUUCAUUUUUUUUCUUUCUUUUUUUUCUUAAGGAAAAUUCAAUUCAUCUUAAUCAUUUAGACUUUCUUUCUAAUCACUAAUCAAACCUCACCUUUUGCUAAAAUCUAAUGCUCAUGAAGCCUCCCAAUCUCCUUCUUCAAAACCUUUUUUCUCAAAACUUAAAAUUAAACAAUUAAAACAAAAAACAAGUCUUUUUAGCAAGAACUACGCCGGUUUUGAUCCCGUAAAACGGUACGUAGGCAAUGAGUCAAAACUCAUCCAAGCCGAAAUAAAAUCAAAGUCUUACAAUCUCUCCCCCCAUUCUUAACUAAAUAAACCUCCCAUUUUCAAAAGUAAGCAAAAAUAAGCGCGAAUAUAGACUUAGGAAAACGGCUCCUAUAGAGGACUAUAGUUACUCCGGGUGCCUAACACCUUCCCGUAGUAAAACCGACCCCCGAACUUAGAAUCUAAGGGUUUUUCUCAAUUUUGCCCUUCCCAAGAAAAAAUAGAGAAUAUCAACGGUCAAAAGGUUCAAGUCCAAUUAAUGGCUUGGCACCCAAAAACCAUGAUAACAAUAUGCAUGACAUGAGGUUCGAAUUAGAGGAGCUUUUGUCAAGGUGUAGAAAAUGGCAUUUUUCAGCUUCCCGUUUGAAGAGAAAAUUGUAAACUCUAUUUAUAAUUGUUGCAUAUUUCAUUUUGAACUUUUGUAUUAUGCUUAAAAUAUGCUUAAAAUUAUCAUCCUGUAUUAAAUGAUUAUAACAAAGGCUUACAAUCCUCAAUAGACAUGGAAUAAGCAAGAAUAUUUUUAUCAUCUAUCAUACAUCCAUAUUUCCUCGAACAUUACUUCUCUUUCAAUUUUGAACAUCAUUACAAAAUUUUCCAAAAUAAAGGCCAACAAGAAUGGGAGGAAAUCCAGGUAGAACACCAACAUCUUAAUCUAUAUUUCCUCGAACAUUGACUUCUCUUUCAAUUUUCAAUGUUAUGAACAAGAUCAUAUGACCCAAAAUAGUGAGUAGAACUAUUUGGCCUUGCAUUGCUUGAUAUUGCCCACCCCACUCCGAAACCCGGACAUACAUCUGUAUAGGCAUGAACAUAUAGUACCCUCUUCAAAGCAUGUGGUGCUCAUUCUCGUUCCUACGUGGAAUAAAAAAAAAUAUAGAGAAAAAAAUAUAUUUAAGUCAAUUCUUUAAUAAAGAAUUGUAUCACUAAUCUAUACUUAUAUACUAUUUACAAAGAGAAUGCAUAGUUUUAAGCUGAGAUUUUCGCUUCCAAUUAUAUACCCGUUAAUAAAUUUGACUAUAAGAAUGUUAUUUAGUUUGUCAUUGCAAAAGAUAAGAAUUUAUAUUAUAUUUGUCUUUGCAUAAGAUACUUCCUUAUUAAGUAAUUUAGAAUAUUAAAUGAUUCAUAGUCACAACAGUAAUACGUCAUAAAAUACCAAUUGCAAAGAAUGUAGAUAUGCAUGCAACAUUCAUAUAUUGGUCAAAAGUUGCCACUUACUUCCACAUAGAACAUAACCACGAAAAUUUACAAGGAAUUAGAGUAAAAAGGAGCCGCUAGCUAUAUAAGAAGGAACCGAAAAAAUCUCAAUCCCCACAUCACACAAAUCAGCAACCUAACUUAGUUCAUGGCAGAGGCAGAUUGGUCUCAACUUCCAAAGGAUCUUCUCAAUCUGAUAUCACAACAACUCGACAGUGAAGUCGAUCUCAUUCAUUUUCGAUCUGUUUAUUCCAAUUGGCACUCUUCUUCAACUCCAAAUCAUUGUAACGUUUUAUGAUGAUUUGGAAUAGAAGAAGAGUGUCAAUUGAAACGAACAGAUCGAAAACGAAUGAGAUCGAGUUCAUUGUCGAGUCGUUGUGAUAUCAGAUUGAGAAGAUCCUUUGGAAGCUGAGACCAAUCUGCCUCUGCCACGAAUUGAGUUAGGUUGCUGAUUUGUGUAAUGUGGGGAUUGAGCUUUUUUUUGGUUCCUUCUUAUAUAGAUAAACAGCGGCUCCUUUUUACUCGAAUUCCUAGGAAAUUUUUGUGGUUUUGUUCUACAUGGAAGCAAGUGGCACAUUUUGACCAAUAUAUGAAUGCCACAUAUCAACAGUUUUUGCAACUGGUCUUUUACGAUGUAUUAAUGUUGUGACUAUGAAUCAUAUAUUCUAAAUUACUUAAUAAGGAAGUAUCUUUUGCAAUGAAAAAUAUAAUAUAAAUUCUUAUCUUUUGCAAUGACAUAAACUAAAUAACAUUCUUAUAGUCAAAUUUAUUAACGGGUAUAUAAUUUGUCAGCUUAAAACUAUGCAUUCUCUUUAUGAAAGAAUUGACUUAAAUAUAUUUUUUCUCCAUAUUGUAUUUUCCACUUAGGCUUCAAUCUGUCGCUUUGACUAGUAAAGAUAAGUGUCAGUUUAUUGAUCAUACUUUUUAAGAAUUUCACAAUUCUACCAUAUGUCUCAAAGCAUUGACGAUGUUGGUCAUGUUCUACCUGGAUUUCCUCCCAUUCUAGCUUGUUAACCUUUAUUUUGAAAAUUUAUUGACGAUGUUCAUGCUGAAAAUUCUGCUCAUAAUUGUAUGAUAGCCAAUGAAAAUAUUCAUGCUUCUUCCAAGUCUAUGAGGAUUGUAAGCAUGUUUUAUAAGCAUUUAAUCGUCCAUUGUUCUUCAUCAUAUUUAGCAGAGUUUGAGCAAUCAAUACAGUUUGAAGGAAGAUUUUGAAGAUGCAAAUGGAAGCAACGAUUUCAGGAUGUGUCUAGUGACAGAUUGAAGCUAAUCUGAGAAUCAAGGUGAAAGCAAACACUUUUAUAUAUAAAAGGGAUGAAGAAGCCAAUAAUGAAAUUGUUGUGGUUUGGUUAAAAGAUCAAUGCAGGUAAUGUUUUGGUUAAACACUUUUCUGAAAAUGGUAAUAGUUAGCAAAAUGAAUUUUUAAGUGAAUCAGUGCUUUAAAUUUGUUAAAAUUCUUUAAAAUUGUGAAAUUGCACUUUUAUAUGAUUAGUGAUGAAUCAUAUCUCUAUUAUUAUAAGCUUGAAUUGGAUUCGUUGUUUAUGUUAAUUUAGAUACGUACUUCCUUAUAUUUUAUCUUCGUUGUUUAUUAUAAGCUUGAUUCCUAGUAUUUGUUGGUCAAUGUUUUAUCUUAGGUGAGUGACACGCUUAAAGUAUAAAAUCAUGUAAUUGCAUCAGGUAAAUAGGUAAAGAUUAUAUUAGUUGCAUGUUAACAUUAGCAUGAAAAUUGUGAUAUUAUUUUAGCAGAGUAUGCUUUUCUUUUCAAGGUUUAUAAAUUCAUUUAUAUUUGUCCUUUAUGGCUGCGUUUGUUUCAGAUUCAUUUAUACUACUGCACGCCAUAUUUGACAAUUUGGAAUUAGAAUAAUAAAUUUUGAUAUAUGACAUCGAAAAAAUGGAGGGCUCUUACUAUUAUAUAUCAAUUAUAAAUUCACUACUAAAAAAACAAAAUUGGCGAGGGAAAUUUACAAAUGGAACACAUGAAAUCAUUCUCUAACUUUCUCAUUAAAGUUUGCGAUCAAAAAAUUUAUGAGAAAUUUUAUUUUUUCCCUCACUAAUUUCCCUCCCUGAUUUUGUUUUUCCUAAUAGUUCAAUAUGUGAAACUUUGAUUGUUACGUCUUCUUUUGUUUUUCCCUUCAGUUUUUAUUAAAAAAAGUUUAUUUUGUCUUUUCUUUCAUAUUUGGUACUUAGGAAAUGGUAAGGAAGGUUCACUUGCAAUGAUCUUUCAAUUAUUUGCUCCAAGACUCAAUUUUUUAAUUAUUUAUUCCUGAAAUUAAAUAACUUGCAAUUGAAGUAAAAUAGUUAUAAAAAGGAAAUAAUAUUAAAUAAAACGGAAUCAAAUCUAAAUAAAACGGACUCAAAUAUUACAUUAAAAACACUAAUUAUUGACUCAUCAAUUGUCUACUAGAUUCAGGUUGAUAAGGGCCAUAUGAGGGUCCAACUGGUACAUGAAUUUCUUAAAUGCAACUCUAGGCUUUCGACUAAUGUUGAUUUGAGAACAUUAAAUUUUACCACAGUGGCAAAAAAAAUGUCAAAACUUUAACAAUGCUGUGUGAGCAAUUUGCUCAUUGGAAUUGUCCUUGGCAAUGAAAUGUUUCCAGCAAACACGGUUUCUAGUGACUCACUGGCACGCCGGUAAAAAAAAUCAGUACAGACUACACAUAUAUAAUAAUUUAAGCAGAAAAUUUUGUUUUGUUUUAGAAAUAUAUAAACUAAAGCACACCAUUAUUUUGACAAUUCGGAAUUAGAAUAAUAAAUUUGUUGUCUUUAUUAACCACUUCACCAACCAAAUUUCUAUUAUAUUUUCUGGGUUGUCCAAUUCUGAUGCUGUCCUUUAUAUUUUCUUUUCAUGUGAUUCCAAAAAUAAUUUUUAUAUUUUUUUCUGUUAAAAAAUUGUUUUAAGUAUAUGAAGAAUUUAAUUCACGAAUUUAAAGAAUAUGCACAAAAAACCACCUCACCCACAUUUUUUUAAAUGAUUUUUAAGUUAAAUAAUGAUAUAUGACAUAGAAAAAAUGGAGGUCUCUUACCACUAUAUAUCUACUCUUAAGUUGAAUAUGUGAAACUUUGAAGUUGUUACACGUCUUCUUUUGUUUUUCACUUGAAUUUUUAUUAAAGAAAGUUUAUUUUGUCUUUUCUUUCCUAUUUGGUACUAUAAUUAUAUACAUCAAUAUAAACAUACUUAUUAACAUAAAUGAGAUUAUAGAAUAAACAAAUAAGGAAUUCCCGUGAACUUAACUCAGUUGGUAGGGAUAUUGCAUAUUAUAUGCAGAGGCCGGGGUUCGAACCCGGACACUCCACUUCUCCAUAAUUAAAUUGUGUGAGCUCUAACCACUAGGCUACUUGACCAAAAAAAAAAAAAAGAAUAAACAAAUAAGGAUAUCUAAUUCAUAAAUAAUCAUUCUACUAUCUCAUAUUUAUUCUGUUUCAAAUAUACCAUUCAUAUGACAUGAUAGUUAUGCUUGCACAAUUGGCAAGUAAUCAUAAAAAUGGUCUAAUUAUUCAUGUUAUCUCGAUAAUCUAACAUAAUCAUAAUUGAUCCCCAAAUGUGGGUUCUAAGCUAAUUAAAGUAACUCUCCUUGGCAUUAGUCCCGAAAUUGCAAGCAGCUUAUCCACAAUUUGCAGCUUUUGCUAGCUCCAAAACUCCAUAAUCCAUUUUCCAAAAUAGCUUAUGUCUUGGCUUAUAGGUCUUGCUCUUUCCGAAACAACUCAACUCAUUUGCGACAUAGUCUUACUUCAUCAACCAGCAUAUACAAAAAAAUUCAUUCCAGUCCCUGAACCCGAAGUUCGUCGUUUGGCUAUUUAAGCACUUACAAAACAGCUUAAUUACCAUUUAAUCCCCUUUACCAUGAUUAGACCAGCUUAUUCUUUUUCCAUUGCUCAUAUACCAAUUCAACAUAUCCCUCCUAAACUGUUCAUCACAAGAUAAUACCUGACACAACUUAAAUUCC
rnacentral:lncRNA from 1 species